rnacentral:lncRNA from 1 species
UGAUCCCCAUGGGUCCCAAAUGCCGGGCCUUGCUGGCAAAUAAAGCUACAGUGUCUUGACUCCUUGGCACAUUAGCUCUGAUUACAAUGACCUUCAUUAUAUCAGCUACCCUUAUUACAACACGUAGAAGGCGUCUCUCCCCUGGGCAAAGCACAGUGGGGGAAAGAGUGAAGGAAAGCGGUGAGAUUCACCAGUAAGGCAUGGGCUGUGAAAAUCAGCCUAAAGACCCACACUGUAAUGUACAAUUAGCACCUGUGAAAACACUCAUAACAUCUGUGAUUGCUGACUGGACGAUUCACUCAUAGAGUGGGAGUUUGGGGAGUUAUUGGUGCAGUAUGAACAUCCCGAUUUAUAGAAUUUUCCCAGAAACCCUUUGAGAUUGUUUGGAUCAAGCUGUGAGUUAUAAGAUAUACUGUUUGUGGGUUUGUUAAAACAGCUACUUAAACUUAAGUUACUUCUGCUUUCUACAGCUCACAUUACAUCACCAUCUAACUUUUAAGCUGGUGCUUCAAGAGCUAGAAAUAAACCAUCGCACAAUACCUGUGGCCACCAAACAUUACAGGGAGGCCAUGUGACCAAGUUUCAACCCUACACAACCUCCAUACAUUUCCACUUAAAUCAGCUAAAGACAAGUCCUAACUCUUUUCUGCAGUUAUAGUUUAGGAAAGAAGAGUAAAAACUUGAGCAGUAUCUAAUUUUCUUACUGCUUGUUUUGUUGAAUUCCAGCUUUAAAAAUAAAGAAAAAAGUUUAAGUAUUCAUCACAGGAGUAAUACCGGCUUGCGCUAUCACCAAAGCAAACUCUAGUCACAACAGGCAAAUCAGAUUUUCCAUAAAAUAAGGUCACUCUGUAAAAUGUAUUUAAAGAUAACAGGUUUUAAUGGUGCGCAUGUUAUCGAAAAAUGUUAUUGAAAAUAGUGUAUGAAAAAUAAGUGUAGAAAUUGAAGCUGAUUUUUUUUUAUUGGACUUGAUUACAGAAUUUCUUAAGUUAAUUGCAAAGAAUUCAUUUUUAAUUAGUAUUUUUUAAGACAUUAUUUAGCAUUUUGAAAAUUAAAAAAAUAAAUAAAUAAGGAAAUGGUAAAAAAUUGCCAGAUUUAUUUGUGAAAUAAAUGCUACACUCUUAUACCAGCAUAUUUUGGAACCAUGAUUUAGAAAUAGGAGACAGUUGUAAAUGAUUUAUUAAGUGAAAUGCGGUGUUUAUUCUGCUGCUGCUUCAUUUGGUAAAAUUGUGUUAUUCCAAUUAUAAUGGUUUUGUUUAUCAGUAAACAUGCAGAGAUUAUUUGUAGUUUCGAAAUAUGUAUUUCUCAAUUUAAAAUAAACAGAUAUGAAGUUAAUACAUUUCAGCUUUUUAAAAUAAAGAGACAGAAAUAGUUUUCUGAAUAUGAACCAUGUGCUCACUUGAGACUGGAGAUGUAUGUUAAUGCUUAGAGUGAGCACUCACAUUUAGAGCUGUCCAUGAAUGAUCUGACCAUCUAAGAGGCAAAUUUAAACUCAGUGUAAAUGAAACUCUGUGUUUCUGCCCUGCUGUAGUUUUAGCUCUCUCUUUGUCUCUGUCCUAAUUUACUCUGGCCUUCACUCAUCAUGGGUAUACAUCCUACUUUUCUUUGUGCUGUCUCACAUAUACAGAUUAGUUGUGUUGCCAUGAAAGGUAGCUAUUUUAACAUUGCAAGUUUUGUACCACACUUUUUUCCGUUCAAUGUCACCAUAAAUUAAUGCAAAAUAUUUGUUUGCCAUCAGCUCAAGCUGGGCUUGCUUGUCAUGCUCUGGUUAGAUGAAUUCAUUCAUUCAUUCAUUUAUUUAUUUCUUUAUUUAUUUAUUCAUUCAUUCAUUCAUUCAUUUAUUUAUAAGGAUAAGGCUGUUACACUUUAAGUUAUAUUUAGGCGUGAAUAUACAAAUGUCCAACUGGUGUUAAUACUAUGUGCAGUUAUUUCAAGAUAAUUUUGAUGGUCUGACUGACAUGAACACAGCACCCAAACUCUUUUUCAGUUGGAGUACACAGCACCCAAACUCUUUUUCAGAAAGGCUGAGUUAAAUGUGUUUUUUUAGACCUUUUUGAGCUGUUUCUGCAAAAUCACAGGCAUUUAAAAGUACAGUUUUUCAUGCAGCCGAUACAGAAAUACAGAUUCAGGCACAUUAUUGGAAGAUAGGAAACGCAGAAAGGCUGAGUUAAAUGUGUUUUUUUAGACCUUUUUUGAGCUGUUUCUGCAAAAUAUUGAAUCUACGCCUCAAAAAAAUUCUAAUUUGCUAUCAUUUAAAGGGGUUUUAUUGUUGUUAUCUUUCAUUAAGUUUUUAUUAAUAAAACAAUGUCUGUACAAGGAUUUCACAUUUUACAUCACAGAUGAGCCCUGUUUAAUAUGUAACGAUGUUGUUAACCUCAAUUUCCUUUCCAGUCUGCCCCUCCACAGGCCACAUUGUUAGCUUGAACAAGCUCUUGGCAAACAGUAAAACCAUGCUGGUGGCUCUUAUUCAGUUUGACCACCCUGCAAGCAGGAAGAUUCUCUCCCACAGCCCUGCUCAUCCCUCCUCCAGAACACCUGCUGUGCAUCUCUCCCUCCUUCUUUGCUGGCAGGUGACUGAAAAUAACAGACGUUGCCCUGAGAGAGCCACACGGUCGCAUUCAUUUAGCACUGCCAACGAACCCCAACAUGGGAUGAGCUGAGCUGUGGGGUUUCUAAGGGCCAUCCCUUCAGCCAGCAGGAGGGCGUGAUGUUUGUUUUUGUGCUGAGAUACAAACGGGGAUGAGAGAGGGGGGGAUGCAAAUCAGCUUGUUUUGGAUUAAGAACAAAUCAGGAGAUUUUAGGAAUUACAGCAGGUUGAAAACAAGAACACCUAUCGGAGGCACGGGAUAACAACUAGUGGGUGACACUCUCAGCCUCUCAUUCACAUAUUUGUCAAGGUACCACUCUUGAGAGAAAACAGAAAAUACGAUGGUAUUAUAGCCAACAGUGCAGUUGACUGAAUCAGAGUUCCGACCCUUAAAUUACAGUAUUUCUUCAAAAGCAAAUACAAUUGUAACUUAAUUAUAGAGUUUAAUGAGCCAGUGCACCUCUGCCAAAAACAAGUCCCAUACCAAAGCAAAAAGGCACCUGUCAAGAUGCUCUCUACUCAAGGGUUUUCAUGGAGUAAUUAAUUUAGGCCUUUGGGUAUCAUGACUCAUACGAGCUGCUUGUGUUCAUGUUUGAGACAAUUAAGCUGUUCCCCAAAACAAAAGUGUAACUUCCAAUAUGGAACAGAGACACACCAGCACUGCACCUAUCAGGCCACUUUCUGUGAUAUAUGGUAGGAAAGUAAAGUCAGUGAUUUGUGAAAAUGAAAAAAUGUGUAAAUGAGGCAGCACAUGUCAAAUUUUAAUGUAAAAAGGACAAAAGCCCAGUCAGGGCUGAAUUUUGAUGCAGGAUUACUGGUAUCCAAUUCAAGUAGUGUAGAAAAAUCUUCCUCAAAUUUGAAUAUCUCCAUGAUGCCAUGACACAAUGCAAAUGUUUACAUGGUUGAGGACACACAUCAGUCCUAAAGAUGCUCGUUCUUCUUUCCCUACACACAUUAGGACAGGUGUUCUAUGAAAAGGGGAAGUGGAUGUCUGCCAACAGACCAAUGUAAGCGACAUCAGUUCAUAUACAACUGUCAUUACUUAGCUAACUUUGCAUUACCUUGCUUUGUUCAAUCAAAACAACAACACACAACUUAUCAUCUAAUCAUUAGUCCAAGUAUGUUGUCGUGCUGUCUCUUCAUCUGAGUUUGAGAGGAUAGUGCUAUCUGUCAGUCAGCUUUCCUUCCCAGCUGCUCAGUGACUGUACUAAGCUAAUGCUUGCACAAGCUCAAGCUUAUCUACCAUAGACUGUACAUAGAAUGGACAUUAUCUGCCCCCUCACUGGAUGAAACCUCCGCGAGAACAGUACCCCCUGGUGACUGGUUGCAGUAUAGAUCAUAAACCCCGCCUCCUCCAGCAAAAUAAAUGGAGCUGUGGACAAACUAAACAGUAAAAAGUCAUAUUAAUUAUUUUCUCCCCUGAUUGAGAUGUUUACUUGUAGUUAUUGGAAGAAUUUUCAGGGUUCAAGUCCUUUUUUUCUGUGCAGUUACAUUUUCAAAAAGUUAUUAGAGGUCAUGAAACAAGAUAUGUCAUAUUUCUAUUAUUGACACUUGGAUACAGUCAAUGGGCAUAAGAAGAUUGCGAAGAUCAUCUGUGGGUACACUGCAUAAGCAGAGAGUCCAUGCAACAUUCUCCUUCUGUAUUUUGUAUUUUGGCUUCAAAUUCACGCAAUAACAGGAGUCACAUUGUCUAUACUAUGUACAGUCUAUGUUACCUACUAAUCGAAUUGAGGCAGCAAUGUUGCAA